CGGGGUGCAGCAGGCGCGAAAACUCUACAAUGCAGGCAACUGCGAUAGGGGGACAUCGAGUGGCAUCCACCUUGGGUGCCUGUCCAACCGUCUAAAAAACGGUUGUUAGCAAGGGCCGGGUAAGACCGGUGCCAGCCGCCGCGGUAAUACCGGCGGCUCGAGUGGUGGCCGAUAUUAUUGAGUCUAAAGGGUCCGUAGCCGGCUUUGCAAGUCCCCUGGGAAAUCCAGCGGCUUAACCGUUGGGCUUUCAUGGGAUACUACAUUGCUUGGGACUGGGAGAGGUAGGAGGUACUCGGGGGGUAGGGGUGAAAUCCUGUAAUCCUCCGGGGACCACCGGUGGCGAAGGCGUCCUACCAGAACAGGUCCGACGGUGAGGGACGAAAGCUAGGGGCACGAACCGGAUUAGAUACCCGGGUAGUCCUAGCCGUAAACGAUGCCCGCUAGGUGUCACGACGGUCGUGAAUCGUCGUGGUGCCGUAGGGAAGCCGCGAAGCGGGCCACUUGGGAAGUACGGCCGCAAGGCUGAAACUUAAAGGAAUUGGCGGGGGAGCACAAGGGCGAAUUCG
rnacentral:rRNA from 1 species